rnacentral:rRNA from 1 species
UCGACCUCAGAUCAGGUAGGAGUACCCGCUGAACUUAAGCAUAUCAAUAAGCGGAGGAAAAGAAACCAACAGGGAUUGCCCCAGUAGCGGCGAGUGAAGCGGCAAGAGCUCAGAUUUGAAAUCGUGCCAAUUUUUUUGGCACGAGUUGUAGAGUGUAGGCGGGAGUCUUUGUGGAGCACGGUGUCCAAGUCCCUUGGAACAGGGCGCCUGAGAGGGUGAGAGCCCCGUGGGGUGUCGUGCGAAGCUUUGAGGCCCUGCUGACGAGUCGAGUUGUUUGGGAAUGCAGCUCCAAGUGGGUGGUAAAUUCCAUCUAAGGCUAAAUACUGGCGAGAGACCGAUAGCGAACAAGUACUGUGAAGGAAAGAUGAAAAGCACUUUGAAAAGAGAGUGAAACAGCACGUGAAAUUGUUGAAAGGGAAGGGUAUUGGGCCCGACAUGGGGAGUGCGCACCGCUGUCUCUUGUAGGCGGCGCUCUGGGCGCUCUCUGGGCCAGCAUCGGUUCUUGCUGCGGGAGAAUGGGUGCCGGAAAGUGGCUCUUCGGAGUGUUAUAGCCGGCGCCAGAUACCGCGUGCGGGGACCGAGGACUGCGGCUUCUGUCUCG